rnacentral:tRNA from 8 species
GGCUAGAUAGCUCAGUUGGUAGAGCAACGGAUUGAAAAUCCGUGUGUCGGUGGUUCGAUUCCGCCUCUAGCCACCA